AUUGAACGCUGGCGGCAUGCUUUACACAUGCAAGUCGAACGGUAACAGGCCGCAAGGUGCUGACGAGUGGCGAACGGGUGAGUAAUGCAUCGGAACGUGCCCAGUCGUGGGGGAUAACGCCGCGAAAGCUGCGCUAAUACCGCAUACGAUCUAUGGAUGAAAGCGGGGGACCGUAAGGCCUCGCGCGAUUGGAGCGGCCGAUGGCAGAUUAGGUAGUUGGUGGGGUAAAGGCCCACCAAGCCAACGAUCUGUAGCGGGGCUGAGAGGACGACCAGCCACACUGGGACUGAGACACGGCCCAGACUCCUACGGGAGGCAGCAGUGGGGAAUUUUGGACAAUGGGCGCAAGCCUGAUCCAGCAAUGCCGCGUGCAGGAAGAAGGCCUUCGGGUUGUAAACUGCUUUUGUACGGAACGAAAAGGCUCUGGUUAAUACCUGGGGCUCAUGACGGUACCGUAAGAAUAAGCACCGGCUAACUACGUGCCAGCCGCCGCCGUAAGAC
rnacentral:rRNA from 1 species